AGGCGCUGUCGCGGGUGGAUUAUGAGAGCAUCACCUCCCGCCCCACGGUGACCGGCCGCGCUCGGGCACUGCUGGACACCUGCCUCUGCCUCGGGGAGAGGGCAGCACAGGCUGUAGUGACUGCCCUGGCAGGGAGCAAAUCCUGUCCUCUGGGACAAAUCACUCGUGCCCACACUGUCCUUCCAAGAAGGGAGGAAAAUGAAUUGUGACGUUUUGGAGGUCACAGUAUGGAAGAAUGGCUAUUUAUAAAUACUUCCAAAUAAGGAUAGUGAACAACAGAAUACUGGAUGAGGAGAAAAAAUGUACUGCCUUUCACUGCACUCAUAUCUGAGCAAGCUGUUACAGUGAAAGGCUUCAGAGAAUCAAGAAUUAUUUCUUCAGUAAGACCUUAAGUAAGACUUGGAAGUUUUAUAUUAUGCAUAUAAAUUACUUCAUUUUCCUCACAAAUGGUCAUAUGAAAAUACAUCAGUACUUUGGAGAUGUGGGACUUGGAGUACUCAUUAAAUGGAGAAACAUCCCUGUAUCCCUCUAAACAAGUCUGCAGCUCAAAUGUAAAAUGAAACCAGGCAGAAGAAGUGCCAAGCUGAUAAUUUUGAAGUGGUGGUUCUGCCGAACUGUUGUCAUGGUUGUACUCUAAUGGGAGACAGCCUGGGAAUACUGGGAGGUUUUCUUGCUCUGGCCUGGACUCACCCACGGUCACAGAUUCCUGCUGCUGCUUGAACUCAUCCGAAGGGUCAUGGACCCCUUUGACUUGAGUUCACAUGGAGUUCCAGUCUGUCCAGUACAGCAGCACAGAAAUACUGCUGUUAUCAGAAUGUUCCCAGGCACAGUGGAGGAAGAUAAGUGGUACAACAGGCAGUGAAAACAACCCAGCCACUAACAAGGACCAGACAAUUGCGUACAGAAGUCAAACAAGUCCCAUGGCAAGCACGGGAGUCUGUCAACAGAUCAACAGCAACAGCAGCUUCAAAUGUGAUCCAGCACAUUCCAGUAAAAUCUGUUGUUACCUGGAGUCCUUCAAGCCUCACAGUGGAUGCUAAAAAGAACAUUUGUCCCAGCAGACAACUGUGCUCCACAACAGUAAAGUGAGAAAACAUGUUGGUUGAGAGCCAGACAAUUUAACAGGUAAAGCAAAAGCUGCACACAAGCAAAGGAAAAUGUGGAAUUAAUUCACCACUUGCCAAGUAUAGGCAGGUGUCCAGCCGUCUUCAGGAAAGCUGGGCUCCAUCUCACUAAUGGUUACUUAAGAAGACAUAUGCCAUCACUCCCCUGUCCUCCCCUUCCUCCUUCUCUAGCUGAGCUUGCUGCCACAUGGUCUGGAGUAUCCCUUUGGCCAGCUGUGGUCAGUUGUCCCAGCUCAUCCUCCCCCAGCUCCUUGUGCACCCCCAGCCUCCUCCUUGGUGUGGUGAGGGGCAGAAAGGCCUUGGCUCUGCGUGAGCUCUGCCCAGCAAUAACAAAACAUCCCUGAAUUGUCAAUACUGUUUUCAGUACAAAUUCAAAAUACAGCCCCAUACAAGCUCCUAUGAAUAAAAUUAACUCUAUCCCAGCAAAAACCAGCAUAAUUUGAAAGAGAAAUAAUAGGAUUACUUUCUUCAUAAUGAAAAGAAUGAUAUAAGGUGCUGGAUUUUUAAAGGCCCAGUGAAGUUUCUUCAAGCUUCAUAGCAUCAAAUUAACAUGAGAACUUGUUACACCAUCUACAGGUAUUUCAAAACCAUGUUAUUUGUUUCAUUAUGUCGCUUUUGUUCUCUCUGCAGUUUCAAAGUUCUCAUUGAAUUCAGUUGUUUGGCUGAUUGCAAAUGCAGUAAUGAUGUGUUGUCUAGGCACAGUUAAGAAAUAAGAAAUGUGUUACAUCAAAAUUUCCAGCAACAAUUCUGCUGGAACCAUAAACUUUUUUUUUUUUAACAUAACUCCAUUGACCUUUGAGACUGCCUUGAAUUAAAAUAUUGUUAUAAUUAAAAGCAAUGUCUAUCAGAA